ACACAUAGGCCCCACCCAAUAGACCUGUGGUUGACGGAAGGGGUGGAUAACCAGGAUCAAUAACAAGACUCGGGACGUAUGUACGUGAUUGCGUGAUCGCUCCUACCCAGUGGUCUUUGAAGUCAUUCAUGAUCAGAGCUGGUCCGAAAGUGCGUGCGGGAUUGAUGCCACAGCCCGUGUAGCUGAUCUGGAAUCAGCAACAACAUCAACAACAUAGGUAAAAGAUUUUUCAUCUAUCCACACCCUGGACAAGUCGCCACCUCAUUGCAGGGCCAACACAGGUGCAUGUCUUUGGCGGUGGGAGGAAGCCGGAGUACCCGGAGGAAACCCACGCAGUCACUGGGAGAACAUGCAAACUCUACAGAGAAAGAUCCCGAGCCCGGGAUUGAACUCUGGAAUACUCAGGACCUUCGUAUUGUGAGGCACAUGCACUAACCCCUGUUCCAUCAUGCUGCCCAGCAGAUAACAUAACUUAAAAUAUCUUAUAACUAUUAAUAA